GUGAGCCAAACUGCAGUGAUUGUUGUCUC
rnacentral:piRNA from 1 species